UUUAGCAGACUUGGGCCAGCUUCUCAUUAGCACUUACCGAAAAUGGGACUAAAUUUAGAGGGCCCAAGGGCUGCCCCUCACCCCCCCGGCCCCGCUUGGCCUGUCCCCAGGGUCCCCUGCCCCCGCAGCCUGCCUCAGUCAAGGCCAUGGCCUGGGAGCCCCUGUGGGCAGGGUCUGUGCUGCCUGGAACCUCUGUGGACCAACUGGCCCAGCCCCCGACCUCCCCAGGAGUGACACCUCACACUCCCUAACCUCCCCCCACACCCGCCCAGCCCUGCAGCUGGCCCUGGGCGGUGCUGAGGGAGUGAACACUUCUGAGAUGUCAGAAGGGAGAGAUGGAGGUACAGGCAGGGCAACAAACACAACAAGAGAGGUGGCCCCACAGCUGUGCCAACAAUAGGCAAGAGCCAAGCAGAGCCCAGACACUGCGGGAGACCAUGGAAACACACACGGGAUACAGGUGUGUACAGAUCACAGGCCCAGAUGUGCACAGGUCUACAGAUAAAGACACAUGGCCAGGCACAAUGACACAGCAGGUAUGCAAAACACACACUCAGACACACACCACCCAGAGUCACACACAAUCAGCCAGCCACACAGACAUGCACACAGAGUCAGGCAGUCAGCCAGACACUCAUAUAAGUCAUCUACUCAUUAAGUACACACUUGAAAAUGAGCUUUUGUUAAACAAAGCCAAUUUAGACUCAUUAUACACACUGCCGCCAUUAAUAUAUAGCCAAUUUGGUUUUCCUUUCAUGUUGCCCCUCACCUAUUAAUUCAUUUUGUAAUUGGGCUUUUCAAGAUUAGAAAACUAGCAACCAUCGGUAUAUAAAGCCAGGUUACUUUAAUAUCCAAAACAGUAAACUACAGCCACACUGUGAAAAAUAAACUUGGUUCUAAGACCACUGAUGUCCAGGAGCAGAUAUGCACACACACAGUCAGACACAGAGAGACAUACAUAUGCUCGGAGUCAUGCAGUCAGCCAGACACUCACACACACACACACACCCAUACACCCAGAGUCACACACAGCCAGCCAGACACACACAGACAUGCACACACUUACACACACUCAGCCACACACACAGACAGACAUGCACACACUCAGUCAUGUACACAGCCAAACAUGCACACACUCAAACUCACACACACACACAAGAGACACACACACUUACACACUCUGAGUCACGUACAGCCAGUCAGACACACAUACUCACAUGCUCAGAGUCACACACACAGCCAGACACACACAAAUCCCACAUACCCAGAGUCACACAGACAUGCAUACACUCACACACCCAGAGUUACCUCAUCCUAGAGGACAGCCAGGAUGGACCCAUGAAUCCAUUUCAAAGCCUGAGACCAGUCAGGACCACACAAUGUAUCAAUUCACACCCAGGCAGUGAGAACCCAGGCCAGGCCUCCCAGGCCAGGGCUGCUCUGUAAGAAGGGGUCUAACCCAGAGCCUGGCAUAUACAAAGCUCCCAUUCAGCCCCAAACAAGAAGUGAGUCAGUGGUGGACCAGACCCUGCACGGUGCCAACACAUGUGUCUGAUGGUGCUGCAUGGACACACACAGAGCUAGCUGCAUAUACAGUCAUCUCAAUAAACGAAUGCAUGCCAUCUCAACCCCCUCCUCCCCUCCUUGCCUUGAUCACACCCACUCAUCCUUCAGAUCUCAGCUUAGACAUCCCCUCCUCCAGGAAGCCCUCUCAUGCUAAAACAGGCAUGUAUCUGGGCUCCUACAACCCGCUGGGCUUCCACCAUCCCAGCCCUGACCCCUCUGGGCUGUCACUGUCUGGUGACAGGUCUGUCUCCCUGCACUGGACUGAGGACUCCAGGACGACAGGCCUAGAGCUGCCUUUUUUAGUUAUUUUGCCAACACCCAGCACAAAACUGCUCAGUAAAGUAUGGUGGUGAAGGAUCAUGGGAAUGCCUGCACACACUGACGCACACAAGAUGACAAACACACACCAUGCCAGGACUCCUACCCGCAGACACCACAGUCCUGUCUAUACGGCCACAAAUGCAAAAACGAUCAUGAAGUACAGGGUGCUUAUCAAGUCCCCGGCACCACGCUAAGCUUUUUACAUAUAUUAUCUCACUUAGCCCUCCCACCAACACUGCUGAGUGAUCAUUAUUAUUGUUACGCAGCAAUAUUAAUUGAGCUGACAAAUAUAAACUUUGCCUUGUACAGUGCCUGGCACACAAUGUUCGCACAAUCAACUGAAAUUUGGUGGAGGAGGCACUUUAUAAACACACAAACAUACAGUAAAACGUCAUGCGGUGAUAAGUGCCCUGAAGACAAGAGAACGCAGGGAGAGGGGCCGGAGAAUGAUGGGGUGAGUGUUGGUUUAGAUGGGGAGGCCAGGGCCAAGGCCACCCCCACAACGCUGCACACAACAGCCCCCCACACUCAUUCACACACGGGCACAUGACAGUCACGCUCAAAAGACUCAGAAACUACUACUACACACACACACUCUACAGGAGAAUGCUGGCCCCAAGUCCAGCAGCUCAUCUUCCAACCCCUUUGCAGUCCUCAUCCAAGGAUCACCCACAUGUCCCAACCCACUGGUCCUCCAUUUAACGGCCAGACACCCACACCUGGCUCCAUCCCCUCCCCAUCCCUCAGAGCAGCACAACAAAGAUGGAGGUGGGGUUGGAAGCUGGGGAGAAGUGCCUGAUGUGAGGAGGGUGGGUAAAGGGGAGCCGGGGGCAGUGGGGACUCAGGGCAGGAAGGGGGGUUUGCUAAAGCGCAGAGUGAAAGGGCAAAGGAGACAGCUAAGAGGAAAGACAGGGAGGGCCAGCGGAGGUGGUGUGGAAAAUGAACCCAAAAGUCCUGCCUGUCCUUUCCAUCCCUGGAGCAGGUGCGGCCCCCCCUUACCUGGAGCCCCCAUGCUGGAGUGAACCAUGCUGCUUGCCCGGCCAGGGCUGGGGGAACAACUGUGUCAUCUCCCCGCCUUCUGGGGGCCGAUCCCUCCCUCCCUGCCGGAAGUCACCCUGGGAGGAAACCACAGGGCCGAUCCGCCCCCUUCUGAAGGGAAGAUACCCUGCCCCUGCCCCUACCCCAGCAGGCGACCCCAAUUCCUGUGGAAGGCGUAGUAGGGCGGAGGGGAAGCAGGCUGCAAGAACUGACUCCUCCAGCUGAGCCCCCUCCCCAGGUGCCGGCAACAGUUGCCCAGUCCUUCGGCCGCCCCUGCGGGGGCAAACGUAUCUGGAAAGGGCAGCUGAGUCAGGGAGAAAAGGGAGGCCCACACAAUAACGACAAUAAAACCCUUGUUAACAUCUUUGGGGAGCGGGCGCUGCUUUCCCAGUGCUGGGCCCUGCACCUCGCACUUGACAGGCAUCAUCCCCCCGGUGCCUUACGACAGCGCCGCGAGGUGGGUACUGUUACUGCCCCAUUUUACAGACGAAAAGACUAAGGAUCAGAGAAGUGAGGUGACUUUCCCGAAAGUCCACAGACAAGAAGUGUUUAGACCAAGAAGCACAGCGGAAGGAGGCGUUGGCGGCGGGUGACCGGCGCGAAAGGCAAGACCGAGCUGCGCACCUGUCUGCAGUAGAAAAAGUCAGAAGUGGCCACGGCCUCCCUCAGCCUCUCUGAAGACUGCUGAGUCCUCGCUGUGUGACUUCAAGCAAGACAUUCAACCUCUCUGUGCCACUCUCCGGAGCAGUAUAGACUCUGAGCUGCCAUCUGAAAAGGGCUCUACCUGCAGGUGAUGCUCCACAAACAUUUCAUUCUGAGUUUAAUGUAGUGGAAUUGGAUUGGUCUAGAUCGGAGAAGAUAUAGUCUCUGCCAUCACAGAAGCAAACUCUGAGUUCCGGACACUUGAAGAAAAGUGAAGUACCAAGAGAGAUGUCUAGGUUUUCGGUAUGACAACCAUUAACUGAGAUGGGGGAGCUUGGAGGAGUUUGGGGACAGGGAAUCAAGAGUGUACUGCUUUGGACAAGUUAAAAGAGGAAUGCUACACCUACACAAGAAGCUAGGCUGUAUGAAGAACAGAUCAUCAGGACUGUAGAAAGACUCAUUAAGCACCUGAGAUAUGCAGAUGACAUAACCUCGCUUGCUGAAAGAGGACUCGUAGCACUUACGGAUGAAGAUCAAACACUACAGCCUUCUGUAUGGAUUACACCUCAACACAAAGAAAACAAAAAUCCUUAAAACUGGACCAAUAAGCAAAAUUAUGGUAAGUGGAGAAAAGAAUGAAGUCAUCAAGGAUUUCAUUUUACUUGGAUCCACAAUCAACAUCCGUGGAAGCAACGGUUAGGAAAUCAAACGACCUAUUACAUUGGGCAAAUCUGCUGCAAAAGACCUUUUUAAAGUGUUAAAAACCAAAGAUGUCAUUUUGAGGACUAAGGUGUUCCUGACCCAAGCCAUGGUGUUUUCGAUCACCUCAUACGCUUCUGAAACUGGGCAAUGAAUAAGGAAGACCAAGGAAGAAUUGAUGUCUUUGAAUUAUGGCGUUGACGAAGAAUAUUGAAUAUACUGUGGACUACCGGAAGAACGAACAAAUCGUCUUGGAAGAAGUACAGCCAGAAUGCUCAUUAGAAGGGAGGAUAGCUCAGGAGAGGCCAGUCCCUGGAGAAGGACAUCAUGGUUGGUAAAACAGAGGAUCAGUGAAAAAGAGAAAGACCUUCAAUGAGAUGGACUGACACAGUGGCUGACAUAAUGGGCUCAAGCAUAACAAUUGUGAGGAUGCCACAUGGCUGGGUCGCUAUGAGUCAGAGCUGACUCGACAGCACCUAAAAACACCACCACCACCUACUUGUCAGAAGCAUGUUUCAUGCAUUUUCUCACUGAAUCUUCUCAUCAGCCCUAUGAGAAAAGCAUUGUCAACAUUCCUAUUUUACAGAUGAAGAAACUGAGGCUCAAGAAGGUUAAAUCAUCAGCCAGGGGUCACACAGCUGGAACCAGGAUUCACACUCAUGCUGUUCGACUCCAGAGCCCAUGUUCGCAUCCACCACUCUUUCUCUCACCAUCAGCCCCUUUCCCACCUCUUCCUUUCAACUUAGCAGGAAGCUCUGGGCUUUGCUUUCUGAGACCCCUCCACCACUACCACAGGUCUCCCACCCCUGUCGCCAGUUAUGGUUUCCUGCCAAUAUGAGCCAUUUGCUAAGGACUUUCCGACUGACAACAACUCUGAGAAGUAGACUGAAUAGUAUCCACCAUCCCUACUCCUUUCUCCAGCCUCAUGUUAUGGGACCCUAUUAGAUUCUCCAAGCUUACACGGCAAGCCCAGUUGUGAUGGGAGCCAACAUCCUCAGAUCUACCUGCUCCCUACUCCACUAACUCACCUCCUCCAAAGAGUUUUCUAAGGGAAGGACUCUCACUCACCUCUGUGCAGGAUCUGUGUCUGGCAAUGAACCUCUCCUCAGUACCAAAGAUACCAGCUACAUUGGGGUUCUGGGUGGAACACCAAAUAAUGGCAAUCCAGGCACCUGCCUCCCGGAAGCUUACCUCAGCCCCUUAGAGAAAGCAGCACCCUUUCCUGCUGAGAGGACAAGAUCAGAUGUACAUGGGUUCAAGCCCUCUCUCUUCACCUGGCCAGCUGUCUGGCUCUGGAUGUGCAACUCUGCUUCUUUAAGCCUUGAUAUCUUCACCAAUUCCAAAAGAGCUCUCAGAGCCCUCCACUGCCCCUGCCACAGUCCAGGCCACCACCAUCUCUACCUGGGUGACUUUAGCAGCCUCUUUCUGCAUGUCUCCCUGCUGCUGUGCCUGACCCUGAUUGUCUUGUCUCCACCUGGCAUCCAGAGAGUAUCUUUUGUCCCUCUGAAACUUAAUCAGGUUCUGUCACUCCCUUGCUCAAGACCUUCCAGGGACUUCCCAUUGAAUUUGGGAAUAAAAUCCAAAUCCCUUAACCCAACCCACAAAGUCUUAAAUGAUCUGACCCUGCCGACAUUUCCCAUCCCUUCCCUCAUCAUUCUUCCCUUCACCUACCCUGCCCCAGGCCACAGUGCCUCCUCUCUGUUCCUCAAGCAGAGCUCUUCCCAAACCCAGGCCGUUUGCAUAUGCUAUUCCCUCUGCCUGGAACACUCUUCCCCAUGCUCUUUGCCUGGUUAAAGCCUACUCGUCAUUCAAGACUCAGCUUUAAAUGUCUUGCCCUCUCUCUCCUGACUCCCUAGUCUAUUCUAUUUUAUUCUGUAGGGAAUUUGUCCCCAUUUCUUAUUAUGUACUUAAUUGGUAUUUCCACUUAAAGAUCUGUAUCCCCUCUCAUUUGUCAGCUCAGUGAAAGCAGGCGGUGCCAGUUUUACUCACUGCUGUAUCUCCCGUGCCCAGUACAAAGUCCAGCACAUUGCAAAGGCUCAACGGAUGUGUGGAAGGCGUGAGUGAAAUGGAUCCUCCAUGAGAACAAGAUUCCAAGGCAAAGUACUUGAGUAUUAUAGCCUCAGUUUCCACUUCUGUAAAAUUAAGAUGAUAAUUCCUUCCUCGAAAAGUAGUGAUGAGGUUUCAAGUGGACAAUGAAUCCUGACGGCGCUUUGGGAAAAAAAAAAUGCUGUAUAAAUACAAAAUCUUGAAAAGGCUAAAUCUACAGGACGAGCAGGAUUCAGAAAAGAGAACAUUAAUUGAGAAGGGCAUGGCCAUUUGUCAGGUAACCUUAAUUGCCGAGCAUUUUACAUUUCCUAUUUCAGUCCCUGGAAAAGGACAUCAUGCUUGGUAAAGCAGAGGGUCAGCAAAACAGAGGAAGACCCUCAACGAGAUGGAUUGACACAGUGGCUACAACGAUGGGCUCAAACAUAGCAAUGAUUGUGAGGAUGAUGCAGGACUGGGCAGCGUUUUGUUCUGUUAUAUGUAGGGUUGCUACGAGUUAAAGUUGACUCGACGGCCCAUAACAACAACCACAAAUUUCAUUGACUCCCGUGAGGUAGUGGUUAUGACCUACCCGAAGGAGAGAACUGAGGCUCAGAAAGGAGGAGUCAUCUGCCCAUGGUGUCACGGUUAGUACAUGGCAGAGCCAGGAUUUGAACCCCUCACAUGGAGGCAGGCAUGUUUUCCAAGCAUCUCCAACGGUCGGCUGUAGUCAUGGGCACUAGACAAACUGAACCAAUGAAGAGGAACAACCAGAGUCAGAUGGGCCUGAAUGGCAGUCCUGGCUCCACCACCUACUGGCUGGUGACCUUGGGCAGGAAGCCACUGCCCCUCUCUGAGCCUCAAUGUCCCCAUCUGCAAAGUGGGCAUCAUCGUAAUGCCUUCCACGUAGGGUUGCCGGGGCAUUCCUUGACAGCACAGAGUAAGCAGUCAGUAAGCAGCUGCUGUGAUUGUUACUCUUCCACAUGGGGGACCAGUACAAACAAGAGCCUGGGGGCAGGCUUGGAAGAUGAGUAGAGGCCAGUGGAGAGAAAGAGGUAGUCAGAAAGAACUCUCGGAAGAGGAGCAUCUGAGCCAGACAGAAAGGGAAGGGAGUCCCAAAGCUGCACCCAGCUGCAAAGACACAAAGUGGGAAGCCUUGACGUGCCCCACAUUCCAAAGGGUGGUCUUGGUCCAGAGGACAGUCCUCAGGCAGCCAGGGAGGUGGUGACAUGGUCACUGCAGGUGGGAGGUCCCUUGAUCUCCUGCCCCUCCCUCCACCCUCUGCCCAGAUCCCUCACCUCCUUCCAGGGUUCCUGGGCCUCAGCCAGAAUCCCAUACUCCUCUGCCAAUCCCCUGCCAACCUCCCCUCCAUCCGGGGCCCAGCCCCGCCCCACCUCAGGCCUGGUCCUAGCUCCUGUCCCUGGCCUCCCUCACACAGCCCCAGAGGGAGCUUUCUCUCUUUUGCUAAGAAGGCCUUUGACUAGUUGGAAAACUAGGAUCUGAAGGUAGUACAGAGCCAGUGAAAAGUAAGAACUGUUUUAGGCAGAGACAGCAUGUGACACAAGGGUAGAUCUGCAUGUAGACAUGCAACCUUUUUAAAACAAAUGGCUUCUUCCCUCAUGUCAGAGGGAUCUUUAUAACACAGAGUUCCUCACCCCCCUUUGUAAGGCCUCCCAGGCUCCUCACUGGUAAGCCAGGUAGCCCAAGUAGCUGUGAGGCCUCAGAAGAGGAUGUGAAGGUCUGUUGACAUGGAGUGGGGUGGCUGGUUGAGUCACUGAAUCCUAGUUGAAAAGGAGACUCCGAGUCAUCCUGGCAUGCUUCUCCUCCCAGAUGUCCCCCAGCUGUCAAUUUCCUAUCAAUUCAGCCCAGAGAUGUCUGAAUCCCCCAGCUCCUUCCCACCCGGGGCCGUCCCUCAAACCAUCUCACUGCACAGCCUCUUCAGCUCUCACUCACUCACUCACUCCACAGCUAUUUCUUGAAUCUGGCCCACCAGCUAGGGCUGAAGGACACGGCCCCUGCCCUCAGGAGACGAUGACGGUGGUAGGGCCCAGGAUCUUAAAUCCAUUCCUAUACUCCUCCCUAAAGCAUGACCCUGGUGGGGUCACUCCCCUGCACAGACUGACAAGAAAAAUCUUGGCAUCGAAGACCUGACCCAGGCAAGCCCCUACCCACAUCUCCAGAGACAAAGAGAAGCCAGGCCUCCAAGGCACAGGCGGUACACAUGAGGGGCUGUGAACAUCAUCUGAGCAGCUUCAUUUUAGAGGACAAAGAAGGCUUGGGACAGGCACCCGCACUCCUGACUUCUGCCAAUGCCUUCCUCAACCUGUGGCCAUCGUCUCCCUGCUGCCCACCCUAGCAUCCUCCUGUACUCUUCCUGCCAUCUGCUGGCCCCCCAAGAUCACUGGUCCAGAGCCCACCGCUCCACCCCCUCCAGGUCUGGGGUUAGAGGGGAGCAUAGCAGCCUAGAUGUGCAGGGGGCUUGGUGGAUUACUGAGGAUGUAGACAGGGACUGCAGCUGA